CGCGGCCUAUCAGCUUGUUGGUGGGGUAAUGGCCUACCAAGGCGACGACGGGUAGCCGGCCUGAGAGGGCGACCGGCCACACUGGGACUGAGACACGGCCCAGACUCCUACGGGAGGCAGCAGUGGGGAAUAUUGCACAAUGGGCGAAAGCCUGAUGCAGCGACGCCGCGUGAGGGAUGACGGCCUUCGGGUUGUAAACCUCUUUCAGCAGGGAAGAAGCGAAAGUGACGGUACCUGCAGAAGAAGCGCCGGCUAACUACGUGCCAGCAGCCGCGGUAAUACGUAGGGCGCAAGCGUUGUCCGGAAUUAUUGGGCGUAAAGAGCUCGUAGGCGGCUUGUCACGUCGGAUGUGAAAGCCCGGGGCUUAACCUCGGGUCUGCAUUCGAUACGGGCUAGCUAGAGUGUGGUAGGGGAGAUCGGAAUUCCUGGUGUAGCGGUGAAAUGCGCAGAUAUCAGGAGGAACACCGGUGGCGAAGGCGGAUCUCUGGGCCAUUACUGGCGCUGAGGAGCGAAAGCGUAGGGAGCGAACAGGAUUAGAUACCCUGGUAGUCCACGCCGUAAACGUUGGGCACUAGGUGUGGGGGACAUUCCACGUUCUCCGCGCCGUAGCUAACGCAUUAAGUGCCCCGCCUGGGGAGUACGG
rnacentral:rRNA from 1 species